GGGGUUUGUUGGCUGUGCUGUGAGGAAGAAGGGGUCAGAUCUGUGAGGAGUUGCCCAUGAAAAAUCACAAGAAGAGAAGGGCAGCAUUGGCAAGAGAAGCAAUAAUAAUGGUGGAGAGAAAAGGCUCUGCAGUGCUGGCUGAGAUUCAGGGCAUCUCCCAGCACCCUAAGGAGUGUUGCUAGAUGAGAUUUCCAGAGGGACAUCGGUCUGAAGCAAAAAAAUGGAUACUAUAAAAGGUAGUGUUGGUAUGAGCCUGUGCUUGUUUUCUGCUCUGCCACAGCCCCAGAAGAAUGAGGUAAAUGACUCGGGUCUCUACACAGAUCUGUAAGGCAUUUCCCCUGGCCCUGAAAGAUCCCAGCUUUGUGACAUGCACUAGAUGAAGGAGUCUCUGCCAUCAUGAAAUCAGACUUCUUCACAAAGACUUUCAACUUCUGGGACCUUCUUACAAUGAAUACAAUUAGCCCCAUUUUAAAGCUGGCAACAAAAAGAGGGAAGAACUUACACAAAAGAUUGCACACAUGGGUCAGUCUUCUGUGGCAGAUCCACUUAAUUCCAGGCAAGUACUUAAAACACAAGACUCUCAUGAAUUUAAAACUGAGUUUCCACCAUGUCCUGUAAUGGAGGUCAUGCUGAAGAGUAUUAUUAAAAUUAAUUCAGGCCAAAAUCUUAGGGUUAAAAUAAUUUUUAAAUGUAGCCUUAAAAAAAAAAUACAUGAGCAAAGACAAGAUCUGCAAUAACACAGGGCAAAUUAAUUACCUAGGCAGACUCCUUUUCAAGUUCAUGACUCAUGCCAGUAUGUAAAUGUCUGCAUGAAGCCAACUCUUAAUGCUAAUUUUGUCACUGUAAGAAAAUCACAAUGUUCUCUGAGAAAAACUGAGUUGCAUACCUUUAUAUUGAUUUUUCAAGAGUCUGACUGGCAGAGUGCUCUACUAUAAAACUGCAGAUUUGUGCUAAUGCUCUAAAAUGUUUUGCUAAAUUUAAUUUUUCACCAGAGAUAUAAAGGACUCCUGACCAUGCUGCAGUUGGCCUCAGCUCCAGAGAAGCUGUGGUCACAGCCACUUAAUUCAUCCCUUUUUACUGAAUAUAGAUAUGCAAGUGUAGCACUCAAUGAGCCAAAAAUCCCAUUCCAUAUAAUGACAAAAUCACAGUACAAAGGAUACAAAGAAAGAGCAGGAGUAAGAAAAGAUGCGUUUUUGUUAGAACUAACCUGUGGUUCAAACGUUGCCCCUGCUGCUCCCCUGCAGAAGCUGCUGUGUUUAUCAGCCUGGCUGGCACUGACAGCUGCUGUGGACCCAGCCUUAUCUGCCCCCACAAGACCCCUUCUUGGAACUAUCACCUCUGCGCACAGAGUUAAUUUAGAGACAUGAGCUACCAACUGGAGGGAUCUGCUUUUACCCAAGUGCUCCUUGGGUUCUUUUAAUCUGAAUGGAGCAUUACAAGAGAAAGUAAAUGUGUCUGAUGGUCCAAAUGCACGGCCCUACUCGGCCACCUGGUGCCAAAAGCUACACAUGCCAUGGCUGAAAGUACCCUUUACGUGGGCAGCAGCUCCAUUAGGGUCAUGACCUCAUUAAACUGGGGAAAAAAGAAACAGGCACACUGACAUGAGCAUUUCUCUCUGCUGGUGGCAGGCAGAGCCCUGGCAGUGCAGGGAGGAGGGAGCCAGCUGCACUGCUGGGCUGUACCACCCCAAAAGCUGCUGCUCCUCUUCAUCUCCCCUGGAAAGUCCCUGGCAGAGAAUGGGAUGUCAGCAUCAUGUUGAUACCAGAGGUGUCAUCAGCACUAGGAUCUCAUUGUGACAGGGCCUCUCCAAACACGCAGCAACACAAGGGGCCUGAAGCACCAUGUCUGACAAGGCACUGAGCUCAGCAGAGGUUUUUGACUGGCAGACUGAGAGCAGGUCAAGUGUCCUGGCAGCUCCUGGCAUGCCACAGGCUGCCUUCCCACUACACAAAGCAUAAACAGCACAACAAAAAGGUUAAGAUGGGGAAAAAUUCCAGCAUCACUUCCUCUUUGCCUAUGGCAGCAUGCACAGGGAGCAAGGCUCAGUCUGUAAAAGCCAAGGCCUGGGGAAAAU